GCUGUCCUCAAGCAGGGUGUGACACAGGUUUCUUCUUGUCUUGAGGAUGAGUGAAGGAGCCCACAGCCACAUGGGUAUUUUCGCAGCUUCCCAUGGGGGAAAGGCUGACCCUGGAUAGGUGGGGAAGAAAGACCUGAUCUGGUCACAGGAGUAGUGCUGGUGAGGAGAGGACAACAGACCUAGUGAUGUUUCUUUCACCCUCCCCACUUCCCACCACCUGGAAAAUGAAGACUGACAACUACUAACGACUCCUGGAAGAUGGAGAUAUGUCAAGAAGACACAGGAUUCUUCUUGAAAGGAUUCCCACUGGGAAAACUGGGAUGAUUUAAACAUCAAAAUGACAAAUGACAGAAGUGGCUAUAACACAUUAGAGGAAACAAAUAUAUUUUCUGAUAUUUUGAAAAAGCAAGGUGGGAAGAAGAAUGGAACACUCCUCUUUAUGGAAGAAUACCAACUAAUAAAUGAAGCCUUGAAAGAAAUCAGAAGAGAUUCUGAGGAGGUAGCUAAGGAAUCCCAGAUCACCCUAAGACUUUGGAAAGAAGAAGGACGGCAUGGCACACCCAGGGGAAUGACUCCUCUGCACCCCAGCCUGGCCUCACAAGCACAGUAGCGAUUAUGUGCUAGGCUCUGGGGGCUUUCUGCUGGGAUCCUCCUCCUGCUCUGCCAUGACCAGUUGUGAUUCUGGGCAAUUUACUUAGUCUCUGUCAGCCUUCCCCAUCCACUGGAGGAGAGACAGUUUUAACUCAUGUCACUGUGAUGAUAACAGCGCUGACGACAUCAGGUAUUGACACAAAAUAAGCAUUCAAUAAACG